GAUAAACGCUGGCGGCGCACAUAAGACAUGCAAGUCGAACGGACUUAACUCAUUAUUUUAGAUUGAGAGCGGUUAGUGGCGGACUGGUGAGUAACACGUAAGCAACCUGCCUAACGGAGGGGAAUAACAGUGAGAAAUCAUUGCUAAUACCGCAUAAGCUAGUAGCAUCGCAUGAUGUAGCUAGAAAAGGAGUAAUCCGCUGAUAGAUGGGCUUGCGUCUGAUUAGCUAGGUGGUGGGGCAACGGCCUACCAAGGCGCCGAUCAGUAGCCGGACUGAGAGGUUGAACGGCCACAUUGGGACUGAGAUACGGCCCAGACUCCUACGGGAGGCAGCAGUCGGGAAUAUUGCGCAAUGGAGGAAACUCUGACGCAGUGACGCCGCGUAUAGGAAGAAGGUUUUCGGAUUGUAAACUAUUGUCGUGAGGGAAGAAAUUGACAGUACCUCAGGAGGAAGCUCCGGCUAACUAUGUGCCAGCAGCCGCCGUAA
rnacentral:rRNA from 1 species